rnacentral:rRNA from 1 species
AGAGUUUGAUCCUGGCUCAGGAUGAACGCUAGCGGCAGGCUUAACACAUGCAAGUCGAGGGGCAGCGAGGGGAGCAAUACCCUUGGUGGCGACCGGCGCACGGGUGAGUAACGCGUAUGCAACCUACCUGUAACAGAGGGAUAGCCCAUAGAAAUGUGGAUUAAUAUCUCAUAGUUCUAUUAGAUCGCAUGAUUUGAUAGAUAAAGCUCCGGCGGUUACAGAUGGGCAUGCGUGACAUUAGCUAGUUGGUAAGGUAACGGCUUACCAAGGCUACGAUGUCUAGGGGUUCUGAGAGGAUGAUCCCCCACACUGGUACUGAGACACGGACCAGACUCCUACGGGAGGCAGCAGUGAGGAAUAUUGGUCAAUGGGCGCAAGCCUGAACCAGCCAUCCCGCGUGCAGGAUGACGGCCCUAUGGGUUGUAAACUGCUUUUAUACACCAAGAAAAAUCCCCACGUGUGGGGACCCGACGGUAGUGUAUGAAUAAGCAUCGGCUAACUCCGUGCCAGCAGCCGCGGUAAUACGGAGGAUGCAAGCGUUAUCCGGAUUCAUUGGGUUUAAAGGGUGCGUAGGCGGUUUAUUAAGUCAGAAGUGAAAACCCAGGGCUUAACGGUAGAAUUGCCAUUGAUACUGAAAAGCUUGAGUACAUUUGAGGUAAGCGGAAUGUGUAGUGUAGCGGUGAAAUGCUUAGAUAUUACACAGAACACCGAUUGCGAAGGCAGCUUACUAAGCCAUUACUGACGCUGAGGCACGAAAGCGUGGGGAGCGAACAGGAUUAGAUACCCUGGUAGUCCACGCCGUAAACGAUGAUCACUCGCUGUUGGCGAUACACAGUCAGCGGCUAAGCAAAAGCAUUAAGUGAUCCACCUGGGGAGUACGGCCGCAAGGCUGAAACUCAAAGGAAUUGACGGGGGCCCGCACAAGCGGAGGAACAUGUGGUUUAAUUCGAUGAUACGCGAGGAACCUUACCUGGGCUUAAAUGUAGAUUGCAUAGGGUAGAAAUAUCCUUUUUCUUCGGAACUUUCUGCAAGGUGCUGCAUGGUUGUCGUCAGCUCGUGCCGUGAGGUGUCGGGUUAAGUCCCAUAACGAGCGCAACCCUUAUCGUUAGUUGCCAGCGGGUGAUGCCGGGAACUCUAACGAAACUGCCGGUGUAAACCGUGAGGAAGGUGGGGAUGACGUCAAAUCAGCACGGCCCUUAUGUCCAGGGCGACACACGUGCUACAAUGGCCGAUACAAAGGGCAGCUACCAGGUGACUGGAUGCGAAUCUUUAAAAUCGGUCUCAGUUCGGAUCGGAGUCUGCAACUCGACUCCGUGAAGUCGGAUUCGCUAGUAAUCGCGCAUCAGCCAUGGCGCGGUGAAUACGUUCCCGGGCCUUGUACACACCGCCCGUCAAGCCAUGGAAGUUGGGGGUACCUGAAGUCCGUAACCGUAAGGAGCGGCCUAGGGUAAAACUAGUGACUGGGGCUAAGUCGUAACAAGGUAACC